UGAUUUAAUAAGUUGUUAUUAUUUGAUAAAAUGUUAGUAUAUAAAGUAAUAUAUUGAUAUAAAAAUGAAAUACUUUUAUAUUAUUCCAAUUUAUUUAUAUAAAUAAAAAUAUAAAUAGAUAUAAAUAAUAACUGAAUUAAUAAUUAAUUAGUAGAAAAAAGAAUAUCCUAAUUAUAAUAUAUUUAUAAAAAUAUAUAUAUUAAUGGCAGCUUUAAAUUGAUAGUUUAAAUGGGGCGUUGAUUUCACAAAAAAUAACUGAAUAUGUCCAUAUACAAUUAAAAUUAAAUGAAUUAAUGAAUUAAUCAUUAAAAAUGUUAAAAAUAAUAUGAAUUUAUUAUAAUUUUAGAAAAACCUAUGUACAGUAAAUUUGACCUGACAUCAAAUAAUUAUCUAAAAAAUAAUUUUACUAAAUUAAUAUAAUAGUGGAUAACUGUGCAAUAAUUUAACACUAACAAGUGAAAAUUAUACGUAAGUAAGGUAUAAUGAACAGAUCAUUCUAAUAGUCCAAGUGAUCGAUUAACG
rnacentral:rRNA from 1 species